CUCCUAAAUAUCUCUCCAAUCCAAAUAUUUGCCUCCAGCUACCCUCCUACUCCACUGCAACCUUCUCAUCUGGUCUCCCCAGCUGUGACUUCAACUUAGCCCUAGUUGCUCUGCUUCUACAGAUCAGGUAGGGUGACCCUUCUACAGCUCAAAUUGCUGCUGUAAAGUCUUCAUUGGCUCCCCACCAACCGCUGGGCCUUGAACUGACAAUUACAUUGGCAUGGCCACUGAUGGUUACCACAAUAGUUAGUGAUUGAUACGUUGAGAAAGGCUGAGAACCAGGACACCAGAUAUUUCCUCAGUCCCUUCCAUUGUGGAAUUCCAGUUAUGGCCUGCUGGAAUUGCUUUACUAGACCUUGUCUAUUACCUCUGAUAAAUCAAGUGCAGUCUUCCCUGGAGGCAGAGAAAAAUAGGAGACGACCAGAAAAGGCCACUUAGAGCCCUGAAAAGGUCAUCUUCUGGAAGGAAGACACACUGGCUUACCUGGGGAGCCUGGCCAGCCCACCUGGAUCCAAGGAUGUGGCUGCCAUAAAACAGCUGCUGUCAGACUUGCCUCUGAUAUGAUAUUCAUACCGCCACUCACCCUUGGCCCUUUCCGGAAGUUCUACCACAUGACCUCUGACCUCAGGAAGCACUGGGAUCAAGGCAGGUGCCCCAAAGACUGUAGAGCUGGCUGCUGUGCCCUGACCCCAGCUCCCAGAGUUGCCGGAACUGCCACUGGCGCCAGCUAAAGCAGCCAGGGCAGCUGAAAGGUGUCCUCCGACUUGAGGGUCCCAUCGAGAAGCCUCCAGGGUGGCCAAGGAGCAAGCCAGCUGAAGUGGGGUCCACAGCAGCCCUAGGCAGGGAG
rnacentral:lncRNA from 1 species